rnacentral:rRNA from 1 species
GACGAACGCUGGCGGCGUGCUUAACACAUGCAAGUCGAACGUGAUUUUUGUGGAAAGCUCUUCGGGGACGGAAGCGAAAUGAAAGUGGCGAAUGGGUGAGUAACACGUGAGCAACCUACCUUACACAGGGGGAUAGCCGUUGGAAACGACGAUUAAUACCGCAUGAGACCACAAAGCCACAUGGCUUAGGGGUAAAAGAUUUAUCGGUGUAAGAUGGGCUCGCGUCUGAUUAGCUAGUUGGAAGGGUAAAGGCCUACCAAGGCAACGAUCAGUAGCCGGUCUGAGAGGAUGAACGGCCACAUUGGAACUGAGACACGGUCCAAACUCCUACGGGAGGCAGCAGUGGGGAAUAUUGCACAAUGGGGGGAACCCUGAUGCAGCGACGCCGCGUGAGCGAAGAAGGUUUUCGAAUCGUAAAGCUCUGUCCUAUGAGAAGA